rnacentral:rRNA from 1 species
UGGUGGCGACCGGCGCACGGGUGAGUAACGCGUAUGCAACCCAUCUAUCAGAGGGGAAUAACCCGGCGAAAGUCGGACUAAUACCGCAUAAAACAGGGACACCGCAUGGUGAUAUUUGUUAAAGAAAUUCGCUGAUAGAUGGGCAUGCGUUCCAUUAGGUAGUUGGUGAGGUAACGGCUCACCAAGCCGACGAUGGAUAGGGGAACUGAGAGGUUGGUCCCCCACACUGGUACUGAGACACGGACCAGACUCCUACGGGAGGCAGCAGUGAGGAAUAUUGGUCAAUGGGCGAGAGCCUGAACCAGCCAAGUCGCGUGAAGGAAGAAGGAUCUAUGGCUCGUAAACUUCUUUUGCAGGGGAAUAAAGUGCAGGACGUGUCCUGUUUUGUAUGUACCCUGAGAAUAAGGAUCGGCUAACUCCGUGCCAGCAGCCGCGGUAAUACGGAGGAUCCGAGCGCUAUCCGGAUUUAUUGGGUUUAAAGGGUGCGUAGGUGGUUUGAUAAGUCAGCGGUGAAAGUUUGCAGCUUAACUGUAAAAAUGCCGUUGAAACUGUCGGACUUGAGUGUAAAUGAGGUAGGCGGAAUGCGUGGUGUAGCGGUGAAAUGCUUAGAUAUCACGAAGAACUCCGAUUG